UACGUAGGGGGCAAGCGUUGUCCGGAUUUAUUGGGCGUAAAGAGCGUGUAGGCGGCCAAGCAGGUCCGCUGUGAAAACUCGAGGCUCAACCUCGAGACGUCGGUGGAAACUGUCAAGCUAGAGUCCGGAAGAGGCGAGUGGAACUCCUGGUGUAGCGGUGAAAUGCGCAGAUAUCAGGAAGAACACCAAUGGCGAAGGCAGCUCGCUGGGACGGUACUGACGCUGAGACGCGAAAGCGUGGGGAGCAAACAGG
rnacentral:rRNA from 1 species